UACGGAGGAUCCGAGCGUUAUCCGGAUUUAUUGGGUUUAAAGGGUGCGUAGGCGGGCUUUUAAGUCAGCGGUAAAAAUUCGGGGCUCAACCCCGGCCCGCCGUUGAAACUGUCAGACUUGAGUUGGCGAGAAGUACGCGGAAUGCGCGGUGUAGCGGUGAAAUGCAUAGAUAUCGCGCAGAACUCCGAUUGCGAAGGCAGCGUACCGGCGCCACACUGACGCUGAGGCACGAAAGCGUGGGGAUCGAACAGG
rnacentral:rRNA from 1 species